CAAACCUUUAUUGCAUUAACAUAGUCACCCUACGUGUACAGGGAUGUGAUGCAUCUUUAAUGCUACAAGGGAACAAUACAGAACAAAGCGAUCCAACAAACAGAUCCGUUGGAGGAUUUUCUGUUAUAGAAUCAGCGAAAAGACUUCUUGAUAUCUUCUACCUCGAAACUGUUUCUUGAGCAGACAUAGUUGCUUUAGCCGCCAGAGACCCAGUCGAAAUUGCCGGCGGACCAAGGGUUCAGAUUCCUACCGGUAGAAGAAAUGGAAUUCAAAUGUUAGACCAAACAUUAUCGACACCAGUUUUACUAUGGAUGAGAUAGUCAAGCUCUUUACUAAUAAAGGAUUAUCCUUACUCGAUCUCGUCAUUCUUUCAAGUUCAUGUUCUUCGUAUAAGUCCCAAAAUAGUCGCAAGUUUUUAACUGUUUACAUUUUACCAAACUAGCGUUACAUAUCUAGUACUAAUAUUUAAGCUUCACAGGAGCGCGUACAAUAUGAUCAGCUCAUUGCAACACAUUGCAGUUCCAAUAAAACUCAAAUGGAACUCUUAGGCUCAUUUACCAAACCAUUGAUUCUAAUUAUGCAGAUGAGCUAAUGAGACAGUAUCAAGUGACAAUGAACAAUGAUCCUGAAACAUCUAUGCUAUUUGAUAACCAGUACUACAGAAAUCUUCUAGCUCAGAGUUCUGUUCCCUUCUGAUUCGGUUUUGAUGAGCGAGUUAACACAAAGAGAAUGGUGGAAUAUUUUGCAAAUGAUCAACAACUUUUCUUUGUCAAUUGGGGUGCUGCGUUCUUGAAGCUAACUAGUGUUGGAGUUAAUUCCUCAUUCUUGUACAGCAACUAAUGUUGUUCCUCUGGAAGCGUGUGCAGCUUGAAAACAGGCUGGCAGUUGGAAAUAGUGUUAUCACGUGAAACAGAGGGCCCAACGGGCAAAAAAUCCAAAGGCGUGGAUUGGUUUUGCAGAGAAUCCAUGGUAUCUAACGGUGCCAUUUGAAAUGGAGUGUUGGAAUGAACAAAGUCAUUAAUAGUGGUACUUAUUCCAAUAUCAGAAGAGUUAAGAGUUACUCUUCUUAUUGUGAAACGUGAACCUCUCUACUUUCUCAUUCAAAUUUCAAACCUUCUCUUCUCUCUCCAUCUUUCUCUGUGCUAACAACUUCAGAACAAACCUUCACAACAUCUCCUCUCUCUUUCAGUAUCAGAACCAUUAAUGCUUCCUUCAAGGUUGGUGUUGUUCGGAAAUGCUGAUGCAUGUGGUGUUGACGAAGGUAGUACGGUCGGUUCCGUAGCGGCUUCAUCGUCGGAGGUCUCAAACUCAGGCGGAAUCGGACAGUUUGUGUGACAUGCGGCGGUGAACGAUCGUUUGGCCGUAAUGCUGGUGGCGAGCCCUCUUGAAAGGUACACUCCAUUUUUUUUAACACAAAAAGAGUAAGUGUAUUUUAAAAUAUUUAAAUUUAAUUCACAAAUUGUCUAAUUAUUGUUUCAUGUUAUACUAUUAUUGAAAUGAUGUUGGGUAAUUUAAUUUGAAGAUAUAGUGGUACUCCUCUUUUUCCCCUACUAAGGGAAAAUGCAUUUUAGUAACACAAACAAGGUUUGAAAUUAUUGACUAAAAUUGUAAUUCAACACGAUUUUAUACGAAUUUACACUUUUUAAAAUGGUUGAAAUCAACGCUUUUUAAAAUUGCUGAAAUCAUUUAAAAUUAAAUGACCUUUUAUAUUUUACUUUUUUUUUUUCACGGUCCUUUUAAUGAAUAAAAUUUUCCUUCUUUCUUUUAACUUGACAAGUUUUGAACAAGGGAGAGAUAAGAGAGCUAUAGCGUGACCAUUUUUUAUUUGGCUUAAUUGCAACUUUAGUCCCCUAUUUUGUCUUUUUCUUGAUUUUAAUCCCUCUAUUUUAAAAACUACUAUUUUAUUCUCCUUUUUAAGUUUUUUGUGCAAUUUUUGUCCCUCUAUUUUACUUUUUUCUGCAAAAUUAGUCUCUACUGUUGUCCCUUUUUCAACAUAAAGCUCAAAAGUGGACCAAAAUCGUGGUUUUAAAAAUAGGGGACCAAAAUAAAAAAAAAAAUAAAAUAUGAGAACCAAAGUUGCAAUUAAGCCUUUUUAUUUAAAAUUUUGAUAUCUCAUCAACUUAGGAUUGAUUGAUUUAAGAUUUACUAUUCACUUGCGGAAGUUUCAUUAUUAUGGACUUGUAAAUCAAUCUUGUCCAAUGAUGUUUCGGACUCCUCCAAUGGAAUUUUUUAGACUGAGAAUUAAUUCUUCAAAUGCCGCAUUUUGUCCCAUGUUGCCAUUUCAUUUGGGGAAAGAUCCAUUUUUUCAGUUAGAGGCCCAUGUUGCCAUUUCAUUUGGCGAAAUGACUUUUUUAUUUUUUUUCAUUUUAUUAAUUAAAAUAAUUUUGUUUAAUUUAUUUAUAAUUUAUAAAUUCAAUAAAUAUUUUAAAUGAAUUAAAAUAUGUUUUAAUUAUUUUAAAGUAAUAAAAAAUUUGAAACUUUAAUAUUAUUCGUUAAUUGAAUAUACAGACAGAUAUCAUGCAAUAAUAUUAAAUAAAUCAAAGUUAUUUUUCAUGCCAUCAAGAACAUCCUAAUCUUCGUGAUUUCUGAACAUCCUAAAAGAAAUAUCGGGAUAUCUUUCAUUUCUUCAAGCUUGGACAUUUACACACAUGCCUAUUAUUUUUCCUAUAUCUGCGCUCUCUCAAACAUAUCUUUGUGCUGCGAGGUAAAUUAUAAUUUAAACUCAUUAUUUAAUUUUUUUAAUUCCUUUAGAUGGUGUAUCCUAGGCAUGAACAUCAAGAUCAAUCCCCGCCACCAUCUCCAAGGAUACCGGUUAUGUAAUGUUUCCGAUAAUUUAGACCAUCUGGCCAUUUUCUUUAGAACCUAACAUAAUUAUAUAAAAAAUUACAAGGUUAAAGCAAAUAAUGACAUUAAUAUUUGUUCAAAAAUCAAAAGAGAUUGUAACCAACCUUUCUACGUCAUUUUACGGGUUGAAUAUUACGAGAUUCUGAUGCUUUAGUGUCGGAUUUAGAACUACUGAAAAAAAAUUAAAGGUAAGUAAAAUCCUUAUUCAUAAUAAAAUCUUGAAAAAUUUAAAAUAAACUCCAAAACUUUAACUCAGACUUUCAUUUUCUUCUCAUUCUCUUAACACCACUGUCUAACAAUACUCCAGUCUUAUCUCACAUAUCAACAUUCAACCUGUUGUUUUUGAACUAUUGACAAAAAAAACUAUAGCAUAAAUUUAAAGAAAAGUAAACCACUCAUACCUUUUUCUUAGAUAUAGGGUGUCAUCUUGCAAUUAGUCGAGUUUGAGGCGAUUGAUUCCAUUGAAUUUAGAUAUUUAAAUAAUAAUAACAAAUUUAUAACCACCAACUCACCCAUCUACUUAGUAGUUGAGAUGUAGUAACUAUGAUAACAGUAAAUAUAAAUAAAUAUUAAAUCUGAACUUAUAUACUAAUCUAUAUAGUAAAUAUAUAGGUCUACACAAAGAUAUUCCACUCUGCGACAAAGAUAUUGUACUAUGCAACUCUGCAACAAAGAUAUAAUGCAACUCUGCAACAAAGAUAUCUUUGUUGCAGAGUUGCCGAGUAGAAUAUAUUUGUUGUAGAGUGGAAUAUCUUUGUGCACACCUAUAUAUUUACUAUAUAGAUUAAUAUAUAGGUUCUGAUCUGAUAUUUAUUUAUAUUUACUGUCAUAAUAGUUACUACAUCUCAACUACUUGGUUGAUGGGUGAGUUGAUGGUUAUAAAUUUUUUAUUAUUAUUUAAAUAUCUAAAUCCAAUGGAAUCAAUAGCCUCAAACUUGACUCAUUGCAAGAAGAAAAAGGUAUGGGUGAUUUACUUUUGCUUUAAAUUUAUGUUAUAAUCUUUUUUUAUCAAUAGUUCAGAAGCACCAGGAUGAAUGUUGGUAUGUGAGUUAAGGGUGGAGUAUUGUUAGAUAGUGGUGUUGAGAGAAUGGGAAGAAAAUGAAAAUUGGAAUUCAUGCAUCAUCUUUUGAAAUAUAUACAACCUUGAAAUCUUGUAUAAUAGCUUUGGAAUGUUGUUGUACACUGCCUUCUUUAAUUGUUAACUGAGUCUGAGUUAAAGUUUUUAAGUUUAUUUUAAAAUUUUCAAGAUUUUAUUAUGAAUAAAGAUUUUACUUAACUUUAGUUUUAAUUCCGACACUAAAGCAUCGGAAUCUCGUAAUAUUCAAUCCGCGAAACGGCGUAAAAAGGUUGGUUUCAAUCUCUUUUGAUUUUUGAACAAAUAUUGAUGUUAUUAUUUGCCCUAACCUUGUAAUUUAUUUAUAUGAUUCUGUUAAUUCCUAGAGAAAAUGGCCGAAUAUGAUUUUCGAAAACACUGAUUAACGAUGCAGAUGUAUGUCUUAUUUUAUUUUUUGAGUGAAAUUGGGAGUAAUGCAUAUCAGAGCAUUUGAUUUUUAAAGUGACAGAAUUUGAAGUGUACUGGAUGAGACAAUAUCAGAGGGUGUAGCUGCAAUAAAAUAGGAAGAAACUAACUCAACCUUAUUGAAAUUGAAUGCAAUACUAAUAAUCUUAGCCAUAACCAAACACAAUAAAAACAUCAUCAGAAUAACUAAUGCUAAAACUAGCUUAGAGCAGAUCGACACAGUUAUGAGAAGUAGAAUCAAUCUCACACAGUUUUAGGAGCAAGUUUAUCAGCAACUGAGUUUUGAUCACGAAAAUCCAACUCAAUUUGGCUUCCCAAUCUGUACUAUUAAGGUCUCUUAUUUCAUUUAUAACCGAAUCGUUAGAUCUACGUCCAGAUUUCAGGUUUGUAUUUGAUAUCUUUCAUUAUCUUACUUCACACUGACAAACUGUUCUUCAUGUUGUUAACCGAUGAAGACCUUAUGUAGUGUGUUGGUUUCUUUCUCAUUUCAAGUCAAAUUAUAAUAUGAUGAAGACCUUGUGUAGUGUUGGUACAUCAAUGCUAUUAACUGUUCUUUGAAUUGGGAAAAUCAUAAUAUGUUGUUUCUGAUUAACAACAUACCGGAAAAUUAAUCAUAGUCAAAUUAUUUCUUUUUGCAGCUCGUGGAUCCCAAUUCCGGAUUAUUUGAUAAUAGUUUCGAAAACGUUGAUUUGGAUGAUCCGAGUGUACCUCUUAUUAUCAGUGUGGCUUUAAAAUACAAUUACAGAAUGACACUGGACAAGUGUUUAGAUUUCGAAGCUCUUUAUCUGGAAGAAAAGAUAGACAAUAAGACCGUGAAUAUGAGGAAGGUUAUGGAAGUAUUGGGCAGUCUCCGGUACAGAUUUGAUAAAUUUUGCAAAGAAAUGAAACAAGAAUAUCGUGAAGCAAAGCAUGAUGUCAAUGUACAGUCCUAUCAUCUUACAUUUUAAGAGUUUGAAAGUCAUUUUUGAGGAAUUAGUAUUUAAGAAGCAUCUCAACUCUAUGAAAUUGAAGGAAAAACGUAAUCGUAGUAGAAGGCUGCACUCAACAUCGGGAGCGAGUAGCAGUGGUAAACGGAUGUCAACAUCUGUCACAUCUAAAUCCGUCAAAAAACCCAAAGUCUCAAUCGCUUCUAUCAUGAAAGAGUUUGAGAAUUUGUCUGAGAAUUCGCCUGAGCGUUUGAAACUUUUUGUUGAAAGGUAUAACAUUAUAUUUGAUCCAGGGAAUAUUUUGGAUAGAGAUAUCUUGGUUAAAAUAUGUCACAAGUAUCUUGUUGACAAUCCAUUUUUAGUUGAUUUGUUUUUAGACUUUUAUGACAACCAGUUUAGGGAAAACAUAAUUUCUCUAAUAAAAAAAAUCUGGAUGAUACCCAUUAAAUGUUUUUAUUGUGGUGUUUUUAUAACAGACUAAUAAUUUACAAUUAUUAAGUAUAACUUUUAUAGAAGACUGUAUUGAAAAUAAACGAUACCCAUUAAAUGUUUUUAUUGUGGUGUUUUUUUGAUCUUUUCAAGGUUUUUUCUUUAUCCACCUCUUUAUGGGGGUCACCCCAGCGAAAUCCCCAACUUAUCCCUGCUUCGGAGAUUCAUCUCCGAAGUAAUUUUUUAAAGAUUUUUUUAGACUUUGGAAAUUCAUUUCCGAAAACACCAAAAAAUUGAUGUUUUCGGAGAUGCAUUUCCGAAAUGCAUGAAAAUUCAGUUAUUUUUUACAAUCAGAUAAUAUUUCGGAAAAGUGUUCAUAUACCAUCAAAAUCAAACCCAAAACAAACUCAAACCCUCUCCAAAACUUCCAUCAAAAUCAAA